UGUCAUAAUACCUUUUGCUUUAGUUAUUUUUCAUGUUAAUUAAUUUUGUAAUUAAAUAUGCAUUUAUGGCCUGGCGCGAACAUAAUUCAUCUGGCGUACAUCCAGCGGCCAUGUUGACACAUGUUUGAAACGUAAAUAAAUAAUGCAACAAACAAACAAGGAGCAAACGCAACGGACACCGUGAACGGGGAUGUGGGCGGGUAAAUUUUGGUGGGUAAAUAUAUUUCAAAUAAAUAUUAAUGGCUGCGACCAGGCGCAAAUG
ensembl:ncRNA lncRNA:CR45178 long non-coding RNA:CR45178